rnacentral:lncRNA from 1 species
AUUGUUGUAGCAACUCUGAAAACAGUCCGAGAUUUUUGACAGUGUAAAUAGACUUCACAGUCCCAGAUUUUUGACAACUCUAAAUGGCCUCUCUAAAUGGCCAUCAAGCAAUGAAAUUUGGUCAAUAUGACAAGGAGUCUCUAUGACAAGUGGCAUUACUUCACAGUAGUCUGAAGAAGUUUGAUUUAACAUAGCGCGCGUGCACACACACACACUCAGGGAGGCAUUAGUUCACAAGUUACAUAGGUUCAGACUUGAAGCAUCAAAAUGUACUCCUGUAGGUUAGCAGGAAGAGCUUACAUAUGAUCCAUAUGGCAAGGGUGACUUGAUGCCAUUAUGAAGACCUCGCCGUCGGCACCACACAGCCUCCCUGAAGGCACCGUACAAAGAACUUAGCAAGCAUAGGCCCCUCUCCAGAAGGCAGAUUGUAGUAUACUGCCUGAAUCUAAACAUUAUUAUUUAUCUACUGCUAUUACAUAUACCCCCUAGAUUAGAUAUGUAUUUUUCUGCACAGAGCAUUUCCUUUGAUUUUAAAAAUCGCCGAGGCACAUACGAACUAAAAUUUUCCAAGUAAAAACAGAGAAGGGCCACCACAAAUAUCAAUUGACCUGGGCAAGUGCUCACAGACCACCGUUGGAGCCAGCGUCACUCGGCGAGCCUGGCGACCCGUGAACUUGGAGCUGUUUGUCGGCCAUCAUAACCUAAACAGGACAGAUGGAUCCAAGAGCCACCCCAGAUGAGUUAAGAAAGAAAAGUGAGCUUUGGGUAUAAUCGUGUAUAGACGCGAAGCAAUCUGGUAAGGCAAACCAAAACUCGUGGAAGAAAUCGAAACAGAGGAUGUACCCACCUUGUGAGAGGAAGAAUCAAUCACACCAGAUCCAGUCCCUUGCAAGCCGAAGACGAGGACGACGCGGCAACCUGAGACCAAAGGCCAACCUUAACCCUAAUCAAAAUGUAUUUCACAAAACCAAGCAGAAAAUCAAGAGCCCAACUGAUGGACAACCAUUUCUCAUUUUUGAGACAUCACAACAGUUGGCCACAUCGUUAAUUCAUAAAACGGAAGAAAUCUCCUUAAUAUUUUAGUUCAUGACAUAAUAGAACUACCAGCAAGUUACUGACACUUGACUAAUAACUGCACCUUAGAGAUAUAUAAUUCCACCAUUUUAUUAACAAAUAAAAUUGAACUCCCUACAUGUUAUCUGGUUGAGCUAAGCCUAGAACAUGGAAUUGCAACUUUUGCGCACACAAAUUGAGAAGAACAUAAGAUGAUGUCUGGGUGAUGGACAUAAAACAAGUUUAAAAGCUAACAAUGCUAAGGUACCAGACACAUGAACUAUGCUCUAACAAACAUUCUGAAAACACCUAUAAGCGUGAACGGUAAGCAAAGAACACUCCUAUCAAAACAGUGUACCAAAAUUUGCAAUAAAUCAAAUGUGUUCAAGCAACCAGAGGGCGAUCUUAAUUGUAUAAACAUGGUGUCAAGACUCACCAAGGGGAACAUGUGGCGUCAAUCGAGGUGAAGAAAGAAACAUCACCAGUUCAGUUAGCAUGAGCCGUAAGCAUAGAGCACUCAUCUUGGCUGUUAGAGACGACAAAAUAGAGAGGUUAACUAUAAGUAGAGGAAACAAUUAUGUAGCAUAAGAACAUGCUUUCUUUGAGAUUCCAAAUCUGUUUUUUGUGGCAAUACAAUUCUAAGGCCGUAAAUAAAAAAUAUUAUACUAUUGUCUGGUCAAAUCAUAAGGAAAGAACGACUAUUAUUGAUUAGAGUUUUUUUAAUUAGGCAAAGCACUACAACACUGGAUCCUAAGCUACAGUUGACGCAUACAAAGCUAUAAGUGUCUGUUCUUUUCAUAUAUAAACAACCUUUAGUAUCUCAACCAGAACCAAAGCAAAACAAAAAACAUGGUUAAGUAACCAGCAAAGGAAGAAUGAACCUUUUGGAAUUUUAAAGUAGCAAGACAUGAAAAGUUCUUUUUUUUUCCUUCAAUAUUACACACAUCAGGGGAGGUAGCUGCAGUUUUUAUUGCAUAGUGGGCUCAGAUUUGCCUUUCCUCGAUCAUAUAACCUACCCCCAUCAUCUCUUAUCACCAGAUCGAUCUGUUUAUACAGUAGAGCUGCCCUGGUUAUCACUCAACAAGAAUGGCCAUCCAAGGACAACAAGUAUCACAGGAUCAAAAAGGAUUCUAGAGACAAGAGGGAGGAUCCAACUUGAUACCCAGUGGUGCCUCGAUUGCUCAAAGGCACACUAAUUCCAGCCAACUUAAUCAUCAUCGCCCUAGCACGAACACCACUUGAGCAUAAAUAAGUAACACCUUUAAAUACAAAUAAAAAAUGGUUCAGGGUUCAUUGCAUAGCCGGCACGGACACCAUUGCCGGCGCCGCUGAUAUGCCGCCCUCCUCCGUGGCCGCUGCCGCCAUCGCCAUGGGAACCACCUGCGUGGGAGGGAGGGAGGCAGCUGCAAGAGCGAGUGAGAGAGGAGGCGGCAGCUAGGUUUUCAUCGCAGGAAGCCGCGGUCAUUUUAUACCCCCCCCCCCAAGCAAAAUGACCUAGAUGCCCUCAUGGGGGCACGGUAUUUACAUUCUGUUGCCAUUGGAAUUUUAUCCGACGGCCGAAGUUGAUCGGUAAAUUUCCAACGACCCACAGUGAUUUGGAUCGAGAUCCGACGGCCUGUAUCGCGAGGAGAUUUCGAUCCGACGGUCCAGAAUCCAAACGCACGGGAGAGCUCCAUUUCGGUUCAGACUCUAACAAGGGGAAACGCACGGGAGAGCUCCAUUUCGGUUCAGACUCUAACAAGGGGAUGCAUAGCGGGCUCAGAUUCACCUUUCCUCGAUCAUAUAACCUACCCCCGUCAUCUCUUACCACCAGAUCAAUCUGUUCAUACAGUGGAGCUGCCCUGGUUAUCACUCAACAAGAAUGACCAUCCAAGGACAACAACAAGUAUCAUAGGAUCAAAAAGGAUUCUAGAGACAAGAGGGAGGAUCCAACCUGAUACGCACAGGUGCCACGAUUGCUCAAAGGCACACUUAUUUCAGCCACGAUUAAUCAUCAUCGCCCUAGCACGAACGCCACUGAUCAAUCUAGCAAAUCCAGGAGCAUAGCUAUAGGACCG